GAUGAAGAACGUAGCGAAAUGCGAUAAGUAAUGUGAAUUGCAGAAUUCCGUGAAUCAUCGAAUCUUUGAACGCAUAUUGCGCCCUCUGGCAUUCCGGGGGGCAUGCCUGUCCGAGCGUCAUUACAACCCUCAAGCUCAGCUUGGUGUUGGGCCCCGCCGCCCCGGCGGGCCCUAAAGUCAGUGGCGGUGCCGUCCGGCUCCGAGCGUAGUAAUUCUUCUCGCUCUGGAGGUCCGGUCGUGUGCUCGCCAGCAACCCCCAAUUUUUUUCAGGUUGACCUCGGAUCAGGUAGGGAUACCCGCUGAACUUAAGCAUAUCAAUAAGCGGAGGA
rnacentral:misc_RNA from 1 species